rnacentral:rRNA from 1 species
GGAAUUUUCCGCAAUGGGCGAAAGCCUGACGGAGCAACGCCGCGUGAGGGAUGAAGGCCUCUGGGCUGUAAACCUCUUUUCUCAAGGAAGAAGAUCUGACGGUACUUGAGGAAUAAGCCACGGCUAAUUCCGUGCCAGCAGCCGCGGUAAUACGGGAGUGGCAAGCGUUAUCCGGAAUUAUUGGGCGUAAAGCGUCCGCAGGCGGUUCUGUAAGUCUGCCGUUAAAGCGUGGAGCUUAGCUCCAUUUCGGCGGUGGAAACUGCAGGACUUGAGUGUGGUAGGGGCAGAGGGAAUUCCCGGUGUAGCGGUGAAAUGCGUAGAUAUCGGGAAGAACACCAGUGGCGAAAGCGCUCUGCUGGGCCAUAACUGACGCUCAUGGACGAAAGCCAGGGGAGCGAAAGGGAUUAGAUACCCCUGUAGUCCUGGCCGUAAACGAUGAACACUAGAUGUCGGGGGAAUCGACCCCCUCGGUGUCGUAGCCAACGCGUUAAGUGUUCCGCCUGGGGAGUACGCACGCAAGUGUGAAACUCAAAUGAAUUGACGG